CGUCGAACAGUUCGCUUCGCAUUCGAGCCAAAUAAAAAACUGGAAAGAGGCGCGUUCCGUGAGCUUCGAGAGCUUCGUGGAUUCACAAACGAGAGUCUACGUACUCGGGCAGCAUAUCCGUGUUUGUUGUUUGCCAGCGCGUGUGAGUGCCACUGCCAUAAGGUGUGCGAGUGUGUCUGUGAGUGUGGCAGUUACUGGUGUUUUUGUUGUUGUACGACAGCCCCACGCGCAACGAAAGCGAAAGUUUUGUUUGGCGCGCGUGUUGCCAUUGGCGUCGCGAAUGUCUAUGAAUUUGCACACACCCGUACCUACUCGUACGUACCACCUAGAAUAGAUUAAAAGCCUGUGAAAACAACAAAAAUCGCUUGGCGAGAAUAUGCUGUUCAUUAUUUCCAAUGAGGGUGCAUUAAAUUAAAGGAAUCGUGUUAGCCAAGCGGAAAGACAAAAUCAACACACACACCCCCAAAGAAAUACAAGAAGCCCUCCACCCCAUCAUUCCUGCAACAUUUCGGUGUUUGCCCACACGCUGCCAGAGGAGAACAACA